GGUGCUUUGUCGUUAGGUUGACUAGUCUUAUUGUGCAUUUUGUUUAAUAUUUGAGUUCGUUCUGAUCGUUUAGUGCACCU
rnacentral:pre_miRNA from 1 species